rnacentral:rRNA from 1 species
UACGUAGGGUGCAAGCGUUGUCCGGAAUUAUUGGGUUUAAAGGGUGCGUAGGCGGCCCGUUAAGUCAGCGGUGAAAUCCCGGGGCUCAACCCCGGAACUGCCGUUGAUACUGGCGGGCUUGAGUUCGGUGAAGGCGGGGGGAACUGGCGGUGUAGCGGUGAAAUGCUUAGAUACCGCCAAGAACCCCGAUUGCGUAGGCAGCUCGCUGUGCCGAAACUGACGCUGAGGCACGAAAGCGUGGGGAGCGAACAGG